rnacentral:rRNA from 1 species
UACGUAGGGUGCGAGCGUUAAUCGGAAUUACUGGGCGUAAAGGGUGCGUAGGCGGAUAUAUAAGUUAGAUGUAAAAUACCUGGGCUUAACUUGGGGUGGUCAUAUAAUACUGUAUAUCUAGAGUAUAUCAGAGGGGGGUAGAAUUCCGAGUGUAGCAGUGAAAUGCGUAGAUAUUUGGAGGAAUACCGAAGGCGAAGGCAGCCCCCUGGGAUAAUACUGACGCUGAGGCACGAAAGCGUGGGGAGCAAACAGG